rnacentral:rRNA from 1 species
AGUGAACGCUGGCGGUAGGCCUAACACAUGCAAGUCGAACGGCAGCACAGUAAGAGCUUGCUCUUACGGGUGGCGAGUGGCGGACGGGUGAGGAAUACAUCGGAAUCUACUUUUUCGUGGGGGAUAACGUAGGGAAACUUACGCUAAUACCGCAUACGACCUACGGGUGAAAGCAGGGGAUCUUCGGACCUUGCGCGAUUGAAUGAGCCGAUGUCGGAUUAGCUAGUUGGCGGGGUAAAGGCCCACCAAGGCGACGAUCCGUAGCUGGUCUGAGAGGAUGAUCCGCCACACUGGAACUGGGACACGGUCCAGACUCCUACGGGAGGCAGCAGUGGGGAAUAUUGGACAAUGGGCGCAAGCCUGAUCCAGCCAUCCCGCGUGGGUGAAGAAGGCCUUCGGGUUGUAAAGCCCUUUUGUUGGGAAAGAAAAGCAGCAGGUUAAUACCCCGCUGUUCUGACGGUACCCAAAGAAUAAGCACCGGCUAACUUCGUG